AUGCCAAAAUGAUGCAAAGCCACCGGAACUGCUAAAUAAUUACUUGGUUCUAUAUUACACAUCUAAAAGAGCAGAGAAUAUGUAGAAACAACUAGGAACGUGAACAUGUGUUAUGUGUUUUUAUAUGACAUUCGAGAAAGCUGAAUGAAUUAGGAUCCCUUCUGCCAAAACAAGUAAAGGCAAGUGUGUUAAAAAGCAAACAAAAAACAUCACCACCACAACACCAAACUAUAUGAUUUGACUGUAAUAGAUUCUACAAAUCCAAUAAAGGUAGAAAUGAAAAGAUGAGAAAUAAAAAGACUUAAAAAUUCUCACUCAAAUGCUAUUAAUACAAUAGGUACCAUUUUAUUGGUACUUAUAUUCCUGAACAUGGUAGUUAUUAGAUAUUAUUGUACUAUGUCUUCUACUUGCAUUAUCUAAUUUAAACUCGAAACGGCCAAAGGAGCUAUUACUGUCCACAUUUUACGAAUGAAGAUAUUGAAGUUCAGAGAAGAUGAACAACUUGCUAGUGGCUGAAAAGCAGGGAUUGAAGCCCAUGACUCUGGCCCAGCCCCAGUUUUUGCCCAUGCAGGUGCAUUGUCCCUCUGUGCAGGACCAGUCCACUCAACACCACUGGGUUCGGGGCUGAAGUAGCUGUUCACAGAUUUACUCACACUCUCUGGAUCGGUUUUAUAAACACAAAUUCAGGAUUGGAUGAGACUCAAGAGAGUGCUUAAUCUAAGCGCUUGAUAUUACAGAAAAGGAAACUGAGGCCCACAGAAAGAAAUUUAGGAUUGCUCCACUAGGAGUGGAGUGGUGCCUGCAAUGUGGAAACAAAAUGGAUCGCCUCCUUUCCUCCCCUUUGCCCGCACCUUCUCCCCACCCCGCAUGUUCUCUCUUGCAUUAGCAUUCAGAUUCUGUUUCCUAGUCAAAGAUGAAUGUUGCUUCUUUUCCCUGAAAGCCUUCCAAGUGCUUUAACUUGUAUUUUCCAGGGCUCAAGAACUAUCUCUGCGAUAUUCUCCAUCCCCUUUCCCUCCUGCCCCUCUACCUCAGAUUUCUGGAACAGGGUCAGUACCUCUCACAAACCAAACAGGGGCUCUCUGUUUUUAUGGAGUUCCAUGAAAGAAAAUUCCAUAGGCUUCUGCGGUCACCUAUCCCACUGUUUAAUAAUAUUCUUCUAGAGAAAUUUCGCCUUAAAUUUAAUCUAUCUCCCUCCCUCUCUAAUGCAAAUUCAACUCGUUCCUCUUUUUCUGGCCUUAGGGAUUAGGGCCAUUAUCCUGCUGAUUAUCCUUCAUGCAUUGUCUUGAAGAGUUGUUAAAUUGCUUUCAAUCUUCUUUUCUCCAAGUAAAAGACAAUUUCUUUAAGUUCUCUCAGAGGUUCUAAUUUAUAACCAUUUAUUAGCUUUUCCAUUCUUCCUCUCAUUUCUCCUCUCUCAGACUGUAAUUCUAACCUAUUAAAUACAAAUCUGGUAAAGAUCUGAUCCAUGUCAAAUAAGUUUUUAUGCUAUAAGUACUCCCAUAGCUUGCCAUCAGGUGUGCCUCUGCAGCAGAGCCACCUCGUUGGUUGAGACUGGGCUUCACCAAGACCAGACCCUCCUCUGCCAGGCUAAUUUAGGAACAGUGAUUAGGGUGUGUGCUGGAGAAGCAGAGGGAGACCAGCGUGUAUCAAGUCUUUUCUCUCUGCCAGGUGCUUUACACAAUUAGUAAAAUCUCCACAAUAAUCCUCUGUGCAUGACAUUAUUCUCAUUUUACAAAUUUAUAACUCCAAGAUCUAGAUGCCAAGUAACUUGCCUGGGGUCCCAGAGCUAAAAUUUGAACCCAGAGCUUUUGCACUCCAAAGCUAUACUCUUUUCUCAGGACAUAAUGGUGCUCCAAGAUCUGAAUCUCAAAUUUGGGUCAACAUCAGUCCAACCUCCUUCAGUGGAGGAAGGAUGGAGACUGGGAGCACCAUAAUUUCUACAGCAGUGACCUGGAGCACUUUAAAUCCAACCUGGGGCCUCAGUAUCCGGGUCAUUUCUUGGCUGCCUAUGUUCUUAGCUGUUCAGUAGGUGUUGGGUGGCUUUUAAACUGGGCUAGUAGCUCCUUAGACCUAUCAAACAAGGCCUGGUUCUUUUUCUGAUCAUUGCCAGCCUCUGUCAGCAGUAUUAAAAUUGGACGGGGGCAGAGUAUGCCACUAUGGAAGCUCCAGUGGCAUACAGCCUGGGACAUGUGACCUCAUUAUCAGGAGAGAGAUGCAGUGAUCGAGCCUCACUGGGCUCGACCCUCCUGGGCCUGCUGGUAAAAUCACUUUCUUCUUUCACCUUUAGAUCUCUUCUAUCCUUCAAUCAGCUCUAUUUUGAAGAGAACAAAUUAUCUAUUGCUUUGGAUAAUAUGAUUAAUUUUUUGUUUAGAAAAGUGAAAGUUAAAAAAAUAGGUUAGAAAUGGAGGGAAAUACAUAAUAGAACAUAAUUUAAAUAUCUACUUAGUAGACUACCAUGUUAGUAUUUUUAGUCAAUCUUAAUUUAACACUAUAUAGUAGAAAUACAUUGUACUUAUAGUAUAUACAUGAUAUUCUAUAGCAUAUCUUCACAUCCACAUACAUACUGCAUAGGUCCAUACUUCUAUAGUCAACUAGUAUUUUUUCUCCUAAUCCUGCCACUUGACCAGAUCAAUCCAGCUCUAAAUCCAAGGGUGGUAAGCCACAACCAGACAAGUUUCAGGAAUGCAGUUAGUCCAACACCCUCCAGUGACCCAGUGCACAGCAACCCUGGCUCAGUAGAAACAGUAGACCUGGAGGUGGCAAACCCAUGCCUGAACACCAUCUUUGCUACCUUCUACCUGUGUGACCUUAGACAUGACUCUGAACUUCCAUUUUCUCAUCUAUAACAUGAAAAUAAUAUCACAUACCUCAUAGAGUUGUUGAAAGGGUUAAAACAUAUAAGCUUUAAAGUACAAAUGUUACUUAUAAUUCACUUUUAUCCUCUGCUGGGUUCACUUAGGGACAGCAGCAAGUUUUCUGAUUCCUAUUACUCAUCUAGGGGGAAUACAUAAGGAGGCUCAUGUGUGGUGACCCAAGACAGCAGUGGUCAUUAGCAGCCGCUAUCUCUUUCUAUUAGGGAAUAUCUACCUUGAUGCUGUAGUAUAAUAGGCACAUAAGAACACAGAAUGCAAACAGAAAAGUAGAAGAUACAGUUGUCCUUGAGGAAUUUACUAUUUAACCUUAAAGACAAAUCACGAAAAUAAAAGACAAUUACAAAGCCACAAAUGCUACUCAUAAAUGAAUACAGAAUAAUGCAUUAUAAACUAGAUAGGCUAACAGAUUAGAUGAAUUUGGUCUAGGAGAAUAUGGAAAUAAGAAAUGAUUAGCCUGGGGUUAGAUCUCUUGGAUAAAAUCAGUUCUGAAGGAGGGAAGGGAAUGACUGAAAAGAAUGAAGAGGAUACUCAGGAAAGGGGAGUGGUACAAGCAAAGAUGAUGGCCUAGUAAUGAUGAAGAGCCAAGUUAGAUGAUCUAAGAAAGAGAGGAAACCCUAAUAUCGUCUCACAAAACCUUCACAAAAACCUUGUGAAGUUCACACUAUUAUCUUGAUUUUACAAAUGCAGAAACUCAGGUUCAGAGCUUGUCCAAUAGGGAGCUGGAGUUGGAAUCCAGGCCCUUGUUGACUCCACGGUAACAGUCUCUUGGUGAAUGAUUCCCAGGGCAAGCAUGCUGGGUUGUCCACCUCUGUUCAAGUCAAUCAUUUUCCUUCCUAAAUCGAAGAAACUGUUUUUCCUCCUUCUAGAACUGUUACCUUCUUCUUGGGCUUUUAACACCUUAUACUUCAUUUGACUGACCACUUCCCCAACAGAAUGGUGUCACUCUGACUUCUACUGUUGAUUUUUUGAAAAGUGUUGAAUAUCUAAUGUAAUUUACUGAAUACUAUACUGCAAGUGAAAAACAGAAUGAUUGUACGGGCACUCAAAGUACGGCUUCUACUGAAUACAGAUGGCUUUUGCACCAUCAUCGAGUCAAAAAAUUCAAAAGGCAGAGAAGACUCCUCACUAGGACACCCAGCUUGUGAGGCGACUGACUUCGAGUUUGUACUUGGCUGUCAUGCACCCGGGAUGCACCAGGCACAAGUCACAGCCACACUGUUUUUGGAGGUGUCACCAGUCAACGAGGUGAAGUACAGUGAGGCCCCAGUUCCUGCACUAUGGACUAGUGAACAGUCAAAGUGUGUGUGCAUUUUUAGGGAUUGACAAAUGAAAAUAGCAGAACUGUGCCAAACGAAACGAUUUAAUCUGUUCAUAUAGGGUAGGGGUGGAGCAACAGCAGAGAACACUUCAGGGUUUCUCACCUAGGGUGCUCUGUGAUGACUCAGGGACUGGCCUGGCUCCUUUGGGUCAUUCAUCAAAGCCAUUUUGAAGCAAGGACUGCUUAGUAGGAGCUGAGCUUUCCACCAGAAAGACAACUUAGGAAAUAGCUCCUGGCUGUGAGAACCUAAGAGGUAUGCAUGGUUCUGGAUGGGAAUCUCAAAGAUGAUGGCGGUCAUCAAAUGGAACUGAAGCAGGUAGAGAAAGUGGUUUCAAAAGGAUCUAAAGAUGACGGAAAACAUUUCAACAGUUAAACCACUUAGAUAACUAAUAGGAAGAAUUCACUGGGAAGAAAAAUCCCCACGGGAAGCUCCAGAGAAUGGGCUAUAUUGCUGACCAGGAAGGGAGAUAUAGGAAGCCUAUAAAGUUGGCUUAAACCUCAUGUUGAUUAAACCUCAUGGUGUUCACAGACUUGAGCUGCAAGUGAGAAAAUCCAAUGGGAAAACAUUCCAGAUUGCUAUAAAGCAAUUCAAGGGAAUGGCACUGGCUUGUAGGAAAUGUAUUGGGAAUGAGAUAGAGAAAUCCACAUUCAACAAGAAACAGGAAUCAUUAAACAUGCAUUAACUCAAAU